GACGAACGCUGGCGGCGCGCCUAACACAUGCAAGUCGAACGGAGUCAAGAGGAGCUUGCUUUUCUUGACUUAGUGGCGAACGGGUGAGUAACGCGUGAGUAACCUGCCCUGGAGUGGGGGACAACAGUUGGAAACGACUGCUAAUACCGCAUAAGCCCGCGGAUCUGCAUGGAUCUGCGGGAAAAGGAUUUAUUCGCUCUAGGAUGGACUCGCGUCCAAUUAGCUAGUUGGUGAGGUAACGGCCCACCAAGGCGACGAUUGGUAGCCGGACUGAGAGGUUGAACGGCCACAUUGGGACUGAGACACGGCCCAGACUCCUACGGGAGGCAGCAGUGGGGGAUAUUGCACAAUGGGGGAAACCCUGAUGCAGCGACGCCGCGUGGAGGAAGAAGGUUUUCGGAUUGUAAACUCCUGUCGUUAGGGACGAUAAUGACGGUACCUAACAAGAAAGCACCAGCUAACUACGUG
rnacentral:rRNA from 1 species